rnacentral:rRNA from 1 species
AUGAGCUACCGGAAGGGGUCCAAGGUCUGGGUCGAGGAGAAGGGGGAGGGCUGGGUGGAGGCCGAGGUUGUCGAGGCCAAGGACCGCAGCGCCGUCGUCGUGCUCACCAGCCAGCGGAAGAAGAUUUCAGUUUUACCGGAGAAAUUGCUGCCUAGGGACACAGAUGAAAAUCUCGGUGGGGGCCAUGUUGAUGACAUGACCAAACUGACCUAUCUUAAUGAACCGGGUGUUCUAUACAAUCUGAAGCGAAGAUAUGCAUUGAAUGAGAUAUAUACGUACACUGGAAGCAUCUUGAUUGCUGUUAAUCCUUUCACGAGGCUGCCUCACCUGUACAACGAGUACAUGAUGGAGCAAUAUAAGGGUGUCCAGUUAGGGGAGUUGAGUCCGCAUGUUUUUGCGGUUGCUGACGCAUCAUACAGGGCUAUGCUGAAUGAUUCCAUGAGCCAGUCAAUCUUAGUUAGUGGUGAAAGCGGUGCUGGAAAGACUGAAACAACAAAGCUCAUCAUGCGGUAUCUCACAUAUGUUGGUGGCAGAGCUGUUCUUGAUGAUCGAUCAGUUGAGCAACAAGUUCUCGAAUCUAACCCACUUUUGGAGGCAUUUGGGAAUGCAAAAACAGUUAGAAAUGACAACUCGAGCCGGUUUGGAAAAUUUGUUGAGAUUCAGUUUGAUACAAGUGGUAGAAUAUCCGGAGCUGCAAUUAGGACUUAUCUUCUGGAAAGAUCUCGUGUUGUGCAAAUUACUGAUCCUGAAAGGAACUUUCAUUGUUUUUAUCAAUUAUGUGCAUCGGGGAAGGAUGCGGAGUUAUACAAGCUUGGGCACGCAAGCACUUUCCAUUACUUGAAUCAAAGCAAGACAUAUGAAUUGGAAGGGAUAAAUAAUGAAGAUGAGUACUGGAAGACAAAAAGGGCAAUGGAUAUUGUCGGAAUCAGCAGAAGCGAUCAGGAUGCUAUUUUUCGGACAUUGGCAGCCAUUCUCCAUCUUGGCAAUAUUGAGUUUUCUCCGGGAAAGGAUUCUGAUUCGUCGAAAAUUAAAGAUUCAACAUCAAAUUUCCACCUCCAAAUGACAGCUACACUACUCAUGUGUGAUCCAGAUGUGUUGGUCUCAUCUUUAUGUACCCGGUCUAUACACACCAAUGAAGGAAUAAUUAUAAAAGAAUUAGAUUGUGCUGCAGCAGCGGCUAAUCGUGAUGCUCUCGCAAAGACUGUAUAUGCAAGACUAUUUGACUGGCUUGUUGAGAAUAUUAACAAGUCAAUUGGUCAAGAUGUUGAUUCAAAGGCACAAAUCGGUGUUUUGGAUAUCUAUGGCUUUGAAAGCUUCAAACACAACAGCUUUGAGCAGUUUUGCAUCAACUUUGCCAAUGAAAAGCUUCAGCAACAUUUUAAUGAGCACGUAUUCAAGAUGGAGCAGGAGGAGUACAAAAGCGAGAAAAUUAAUUGGAGCUACAUUGAAUUCAUUGACAAUCAAGAUAUGUUGGAUUUGAUCGAAAAGAAACCUAUUGGAAUUAUUGCACUGCUGGAUGAGGCUUGUAUGUUUCCAAAAUCUACUCACGCAACCUUUGCAUCAAAGAUGUUCAGAAACUUGUCUUCCCAUCCUAGGCUUGAGAAGACCAAGUUCUCAGAAACAGAUUUUACCAUCUCUCACUAUGCUGGGAAGGUUACGUAUCAAACAGAUUCUUUUCUGGAGAAGAACCGGGAUUAUAUUGUUGCAGAGCACUGCAAUCUUUUAUCAUCUUCAAGAUGUUCACUUGUUUCUGGACUUUUUAGUUCUUUGCCAGAAGAGUCAUUAAGAUCGUCGUACAAGUUCUCAUCGGUUGCUUCCCGAUUUAAGCAACAACUUCAAGCCCUCAUGGAAACGCUGAGCUCGACAGAACCUCACUAUGUACGCUGUGUGAAGCCUAAUUCUGUUAAUCGACCUCAGCUUUUUGAAAAUCAAAGUGUCUUGCACCAACUUCGCUGUGGAGGUGUUUUAGAGGCUGUUCGCAUUAGUCUUGCUGGCUAUCCGACCAGAAGGACAUAUGCUGAAUUUGUUGAUCGGUUCGGAGUCCUAGUUCCUGAGUUGAUGUUCGGAAGUCAUGAUGAAAGGGCGUUGACAGAGGCAGUUCUUGAAAAAAUGAAGCUUAACAAUUUUCAACUUGGUAGAAAUAAGGUCUUCCUUAGAGCCGGUCAAAUCGCGAUACUAGAUGUGCGUCGUGCUGAGGUUUUGGACAAUGCUGCACGGCGCAUUCAAAGUUGUUUCAGAACAUUCGCCGCCCGCAAAGAGUUUGUGAAAACAAAGAAGGCUUCAAUUUCAAUACAAGCAUAUUGUAGAGGUUGUUUUGGAAGGAAAAUGUAUAAGAUCAGAAGAGAAACAGCGGCUGCCAUAAUUCUUCAGAAGUAUGCAAGAAGGUUACUGUUACAGCGGAAUUACCAUGAAGCAUGUUCAGCAGCUCUGCUCAUCCAGUCUUGUAUUCGAGGGUUUAUUGCCCGCCGCUAUUUCUCAGCCAUCAGGGAGCAGAAGGCUGCGUUAGUGAUACAGUCCUUCUGGAGAAAACGGAAGGUUGCCAUGCUUUUCCAGCAUUACAAGCAAGCCACUAUAGCAAUUCAGUGUGCUUGGAGACAAAAGCUUGCAAGAAGGGAGCUAAGGAAACUCAGAAUGACUGCAAAUGAAGCUGGCGCACUCCGGGAGGCGAAGAAUAAGCUUGAGAAAAAGUUGGAUGAUCUUACUUUAAGACUUACUCUGGAAAGGAGAAUGCGGGCUGCUGGUGAGGAAACAAAGUUGGUGGAGAUAUCAAAGCGGGACAAAAUAAUCGAAACAUUAAGCGCAGAAUGUGCUGCAGCUAAAUUAUCUGCCCGGAGUGAACAUGACAAAAAUCUAAUCCUCCAGAGGCAAUUGGAUGAUUCUUUGAGAGAGAUAUCUAUGUUGUGCAGUAACAAGAUUCUGAAAGCAGAAGAAGAAAAGGAGAACUCUAAUCUAAAGAACAUAGUCGAAUCAUUAUCGGAGAAGAAUUCAUUAUUGGAAACUGAACUUAGCACAGCUCGUAAAAAUAGUGAUGAUACGAUGGAGAAACUGAAAGAUGUGGAGGGAAAAUGCACCCGCCUCCAGCAAAAUUUGGAUAAAUUGCAGGAGAAACUUACGAACUUGGAAAAUGAAAAUCAUGUUCUAAGGCAAAAGGCAUUUAGCAUUACUCCAAAACCGCUGCCUGAGAAAUUUGCUAACUCGAUUAGUCUUACGAACAGCGAGCAGAAGCGCACAUUUGAAACUCCACCAACAACAAAAUAUCUGUCUCCUGUUCAACAUAGUACCGGGUCAAGGAGGGCAAGGUUGCCUGUUGAAAGGCAUGAGGGAAACCAUGAAAUCCUGUUAAGUUGCAUAAAGGAAAAUUUAGGGUUCAAGGAUGGCAAACCAGUUGCUGCAUGUAUCAUCUACAGAUGCCUUCUACAUUGGCGUGCUUUCGAAUCAGAGAGGACUGCUAUUUUUGAUCAUGUAAUUGAAGCCAUAAACGAUGUUCUCAAGGCAAAGGAAGCAGAUGGUAGAUUACCUUAUUGGUUGUCCAAUACUUCUGCACUGCUAUGCCUUCUGCAGAAGAAUCUACGGUCAAACGGAUUUUUUGGUACACCAUCUCGCCGCUCUGCUGGAGGGCUAGGUGGGAAGUUGGCCCAACUUGCAGGGCGUGGUGAUACUGCACAAGUGGAUGCUAGGUAUCCAGCCAUACUAUUCAAACAGCAGCUAACAGCAUGUGUUGAAAAGAUCUUUGGGCAACUAAGGGAUAAUCUAAAAAAGGAAAUAUCACCUCUUCUCAGUCUCUGCAUUCAGGCUCCAAAAUCAACACGACCUGGAAAAGCUCCCAAAGCACCAGGGGUUGGUGCUCAACAGCCAUCGAACUCCCAUUGGGACAACAUUGUCAGUUUCCUAAAUUUGCUUAUGGAUACUCUGCGUGAAAAUCAUGUGCCAUCGUUCUUUAUACGUAAGCUGAUCACUCAGUUAUUCUCCUUCGUCAACAUACAACUUUUCAACAGUCUUCUUCUUCGGCGUGAAUGUUGUACAUUCUCCAAUGGAGAAUAUGUUAAAGCUGGACUGUCAUUGCUGGAGAAAUGGAUUACUGAUGUCUCUGAGGAGUUUGCAGGAACUUCUUGGCAUGAGCUUAAUUAUAUUAGACAAGCUGUCGGAUUUUUGGUUAUACACCAAAAAAGGAAGAAGACACUUGAGGAGAUCAGUCAAGAUCUCUGCCCGUCCUUGAGCCUUAGGCAAAUCUACAGGAUAUGCUCAAUGUACUGGGACGACAAGUACAAUACCCAGGGAAUAUCAAAUGAGGUCGUUUCUGCAAUGCGGGAGAUGGUCAACAAAGAUACUCAGAACCUCGCGUCAAAUUCAUUUUUGUUGGAUGACGAUUUAAGCAUACCAUUUUCGACCGAGGAUUUAUCGAUCGCCAUCCCAGCGAUAGACUAUGCGGAUGUGGAGCUGCCGGAAUCUCUUCAUCACUAUCCAUCUGCGCAGUUUCUACUGACGGCAUCAUGA